rnacentral:rRNA from 1 species
AGAGUUUGAUCCUGGCUCAGAUUGAACGCUGGCGGCAUGCCUUACACAUGCAAGUCGAACGGCAGCACGGGAGCAAUCCUGGUGGCGAGUGGCGAACGGGUGAGUAAUAUAUCGGAACGUGCCCAGUCGUGGGGGAUAACGCAGCGAAAGCUGUGCUAAUACCGCAUACGAUCUCUGGAUGAAAGCGGGGGACUCGCAAGGGCCUCGCGCGAUUGGAGCGGCCGAUAUCAGAUUAGCUAGUUGGUGGGGUAAGAGCCCACCAAGGCGACGAUCUGUAGCUGGUCUGAGAGGACGACCAGCCACACUGGAACUGAGACACGGUCCAGACUCCUACGGGAGGCAGCAGUGGGGAAUUUUGGACAAUGGGCGCAAGCCUGAUCCAGCAAUGCCGCGUGCAGGAUGAAGGCCUUCGGGUUGU